rnacentral:lncRNA from 1 species
ACCCGUCUGCAAGCCAGGAAGAGAGUCCUCGCCAGAAACUAAACCCCGCUGGAAACUUGAUUUUGCGCUUUCCAGCCUCUAGAACUAAUACGUGAAAAACAUUUAAAUCAGAAAGUAAAUAACAGGAUGAUUUGCAAGACACAGAGAUGUAAAAUUAAAAAGCCUCUCGAGCUCCAAAGCUACCUGUUAACUUCAACAAGCACACUGGCCUGGAGACUACAUGAUGGUGUAUCAGUUAUGGUACCUCUCCAUCAUUGCCCAUCAAUGACAUUUCUGAUGCUCCAGAAGGAUACCCUUGAGGUCAUCCUGUUCUCACCUCCAAUAUUCAUUAUGAUCUCUAACAUCACUAUAUACAACAUUUUUGUAUAUAUACAA